CCUACGGGAGGCAGCAGUGGGGAAUAUUGGACAAUGGGCGAAAGCCUGAUCCAGCAAUGCCGCGUGAGUGAUGAAGGCCUUAGGGUUGUAAAGCUCUUUUACCAGGGAUGAUAAUGACAGUACCUGGAGAAUAAGCUCCGGCUAACUCCGUGCCAGCAGCCGCGGUAAUACGGAGGGAGCUAGCGUUGUUCGGAAUUACUGGGCGUAAAGCGUACGUAGGCGGUUAUUCAAGUCAGAGGUGAAAGCCUGGAGCUCAACUCCAGAACUGCCUUUGAAACUAGAUAGCUAGAAUCUUGGAGAGGUGAGUGGAAUUCCGAGUGUAGAGGUGAAAUUCGUAGAUAUUCGGAAGAACACCAGUGGCGAAGGCGACUCACUGGACAAGUAUUGACGCUGAGGUACGAAAGCGUGGGGAGCAAACAGGAUUAGAUACCCUGGUAGUCCACGCCGUAAACCGAUGAUAACUAGACUGUUCGGUCGUCUACGUACGACGUUGUAGUGGUCGGCGACGACGUAACCGUACCGUAUUAAGUUUAAGUUACCGUCCGUCGGGUAGGGUACGGGUUACGGUCGACGAAGUUAAACGUUAACCGAACGGAAAGUUAGUACGGUCGUGAGACGUGCCGACGGACGACGACCGACGGGAGGUUAGGAG
rnacentral:rRNA from 1 species